AUUGAACGCUGGCGGCAUGCCUUACACAUGCAAGUCGAACGGUAACGCGGGGCAACCUGGCGACGAGUGGCGAACGGGUGAGUAAAGUAUCGGAACGUGCCCAAUAGUGGGGGAUAGCCCGGCGAAAGCCGGAUUAAUACCGCAUGAGACCUGAGGGUGAAAGCGGGGGACUCGCAAGAGCCUCGCGCUGUUGGAGCGGCCGAUAUCAGAUUAGGUAGUUGGUGGGGUAAAGGCCUACCAAGCCGACGAUCUGUAGCUGGUCUGAGAGGACGACCAGCCACACUGGGACUGAGACACGGCCCAGACUCCUACGGGAGGCAGCAGUGGGGAAUUUUGGACAAUGGGCGCAAGCCUGAUCCAGCCAUGCCGCGUGCGGGAAGAAGGCCUC
rnacentral:rRNA from 1 species